CAGGAAAUAGUUUAAUUAAAAUAUAAAUUUUGGAGAUUUAAGAUAGAUAGUUUAUUUUUUCCUGA
rnacentral:tRNA from 1 species